GGGGAAUUACAAGUCCUCUUGUGAUUCAUCAGCAACGUGCAGGAAUAAUUCUAAGUCAGCAAAAUUUUGAACAGUAUCUUUCAUCUGUGUGAAUUGAUCUGUUAACUAACAAGGCUGGGGUGAAAGCUGGGUUACCCUGAGCCAUGGAUGGCAGCUGGGAAAGAGGCCACGUGUCAUCUGGCAUCAGCAGUACACCUCAGUGCAUUCCUUCUCAGCAGCCCUUCCCAGGUUCACCAGAGCUCCAAUGAUGGGAAAUCCAGCCUGGUUACUUGAGAGCAAUGCAGACCUCUUCAGAGCAAGCCCUUGAAGUGAGGCUGAGGAGGGCCUUUGUGAAGUUUGCAGCACAACAGAUGAAUACACUGUGACUCUUCUGAAAGAAAAUCCAUGGCACUUUUAUGAUUCUUACAGGUGGUUGCUGAGAUGUGACAAUUAAACACUUGUGACCUCUUGCCU
rnacentral:lncRNA from 1 species